rnacentral:rRNA from 1 species
GUGUCAGCAGCCGCGGUAAAACGUAGGAGACAAACGUUAUCCGGAGUUACUGGGCGUAAAGGGCGUGCAGGCGGUCUGUUAAGUCUGGCGUGAAAGCUCUCGGCUAAACCGGGAGAGGUCGUUGGAUACUGACGGACUAGAGGACGGUAGAGGCGUGUGGAAUUCCGGGUGUAGUGGUGAAAUGCGUAGAGAUCCGGAGGAACACCAGUGGCGAAGGCGACACGCUGGGCCGUACCUGACGCUAAGACGCGACAGCAUGGGGAGCGAACGGGAUUAGAAACCCUUGUAGUCC